rnacentral:rRNA from 1 species
UACGGAGGGUGCAAGCGUUAUCCGGAAUCACUGGGUUUAAAGGGUGCGUAGGCGGUUAUAUAAGUCCAUGGUGAAAGACGGCAGCUUAACUGUCGCAGUGCCAUUGAUACUGUAUGACUUGAAUAAGGAUGAGGUUGGCGGAAUGUGACAUGUAGCGGUGAAAUGCAUAGAUAUGUCAUAGAACACCAAUUGCGAAGGCAGCUGACUAGACCUUUAUUGACGCUGAGGCACGAAAGCGUGGGGAUCGAACAGG